UACGUAGGGCGCAAGCGUUGUCCGGAAUUAUUGGGCGUAAAGAGCUCGUAGGUGGCUUGUUGCGUCUGCCGUGAAAGCCCGUGGCUUAACUACGGUCGGCGGUGGAUACGGGCAGGCUAGAGGCUGGUAGGGGCAAGCGGAAUUCCUGGUGUAGCGGUGAAAUGCGCAGAUAUCAGGAGGAACACCGGUGGCGAAGGCGGCUUGCUGGGCCAGUUCUGACGCUGAGGAGCGAAGCGUGGGGAGCA
rnacentral:rRNA from 1 species